GGAUCAGGUGGACUUUCUGUUCA
rnacentral:siRNA from 1 species